rnacentral:misc_RNA from 1 species
GAUGAAGAACGUAGCGAAAUGCGAUAAGUAAUGUGAAUUGCAGAAUUCAGUGAAUCAUCGAAUCUUUGAACGCACAUUGCGCCCCUUGGUAUUCCGAGGGGCAUGCCUGUUCGAGCGUCAUUAUAACCCCUCAAGCUCAGCUUGGUGUUGGGGCCUGCUGCACUGGCAGCCCUUAAAAUCAGUGGCGGCGCCAUCUGGCUCUAAGCGAAGUAAUUCUUCUCGCUAUGGAGUCCUGGUGGAUGCUUGCCAUCAACCCCCAAUUUUUCUAUGGUUGACCUCGGAUCAGGUAGGGAUACCCGCUGAACUUAAGCAUAUCAAAAGCGGAGGA